GGUUAAGCGACUAAGCGUACACGGUGGAUGCCCUGGCAGUCAGAGGCGAUGAAGGACGUGCUAAUCUGCGAAAAGCGUCGGUAAGGUGAUAUGAACCGUUAUAACCGGCGAUGUCCGAAUGGGGAAACCCAGUGCAAUUCGUUGCACUAUCGUUAACUGAAUACAUAGGUUAACGAGGCGAACCGGGGGAACUGAAACAUCUAAGUACCCCGAGGAAAAGAAAUCAACCGAGAUUCCCCCAGUAGCGGCGAGCGAACGGGGAGCAGCCCAGAGUCUGAAUCAGCUUGUGUGUUAGUGGAACGGUCUGGAAAGUCCGACGGUACAGGGUGAUAGUCCCGUACACCAAAAUGCACAGGCUGUGAACUCGAAGAGUAGGGCGGGACACGUGGUAUCCUGUCUGAAUAUGGGGGGACCAUCCUCCAAGGCUAAAUACUCCUGACUGACCGAUAGUGAACCAGUACCGUGAGGGAAAGGCGAAAAGAACCCCGGCGAGGGGAGUGAAAAAGAACCUGAAACCGUGUACGUACAAGCAGUGGGAGCACCUUCGGGUGUGACUGCGUACCUUUUGUAUAAUGGGUCAGCGACUUAUAUUCUGUAGCAAGGUUAACCGUAUAGGGGAGCCGCAGGGAAACCGAGUCUUAACUGGGCGUUAAGUUGCAGGGUAUAGACCCGAAACCCGGUGAUCUAGCCAUGGGCAGGUUGAAGGUUGGGUAACACUAACUGGAGGACCGAACCGACUAAUGUUGAAAAAUUAGCGGAUGACUUGUGGCUGGGGGUGAAAGGCCAAUCAAACCGGGAGAUAGCUGGUUCUCCCCGAAAGCUAUUUAGGUAGCGCCUCGUGAAUUCAUCUUCGGGGGUAGAGCACUGUUUCGGCUAGGGGGUCAUCCCGACUUACCAACCCGAUGCAAACUACGAAUACCGAAGAAUGUUAUCACGGGAGACACACGGCGGGUGCUAACGUCCGUCGUGAAGAGGGAAACAACCCAGACCGCCAGCUAAGGUCCCAAAGUCAUGGUUAAGUGGGAAACGAUGUGGGAAGGCACAGACAGCCAGGAUGUUGGCUUAGAAGCAGCCAUCAUUUAAAGAAAGCGUAAUAGCUCACUGGUCGAGUCGGCCUGCGCGGAAGAUGUAACGGGGCUAAACCAUGCACCGAAGCUGCGGCAGCGACACUAUGUGUUGUUGGGUAGGGGAGCGUUCUGUAAGCCUGCGAAGGUGUGCUGUGAGGCAUGCUGGAGGUAUCAGAAGUGCGAAUGCUGACAUAAGUAACGAUAAAGCGGGUGAAAAGCCCGCUCGCCGGAAGACCAAGGGUUCCUGUCCAACGUUAAUCGGGGCAGGGUGAGUCGACCCCUAAGGCGAGGCCGAAAGGCGUAGUCGAUGGGAAACAGGUUAAUAUUCCUGUACUUGGUGUUACUGCGAAGGGGGGACGGAGAAGGCUAUGUUAGCCGGGCGACGGUUGUCCCGGUUUAAGCAUGUAGGCUGAUUAUCCAGGCAAAUCCGGAUAAUCAAGGCUGAGGUGUGAUGACGAGGCACUACGGUGCUGAAGUAACAAAUGCCCUGCUUCCAGGAAAAGCCUCUAAGCAUCAGGUAACAUCAAAUCGUACCCCAAACCGACACAGGUGGUCAGGUAGAGAAUACCAAGGCGCUUGAGAGAACUCGGGUGAAGGAACUAGGCAAAAUGGUGCCGUAACUUCGGGAGAAGGCACGCUGGUGUGUAGGUGAAGUCCCUGCGGAUGGAGCUGAGACCAGUCGAAGAUACCAGCUGGCUGCAACUGUUUAUUAAAAACACAGCACUGUGCAAACACGAAAGUGGACGUAUACGGUGUGACGCCUGCCCGGUGCCGGAAGGUUAAUUGAUGGGGUUAUCCGUAAGGAGAAGCUCUUGAUCGAAGCCCCGGUAAACGGCGGCCGUAACUAUAACGGUCCUAAGGUAGCGAAAUUCCUUGUCGGGUAAGUUCCGACCUGCACGAAUGGCGUAAUGAUGGCCAGGCUGUCUCCACCCGAGACUCAGUGAAAUUGAACUCGCUGUGAAGAUGCAGUGUACCCGCGGCAAGACGGAAAGACCCCGUGAACCUUUACUAUAGCUUGACACUGAACAUUGAGCCUUGAUGUGUAGGAUAGGUGGGAGGCUUUGAAGCGUGGACGCCAGUCUGCGUGGAGCCAACCUUGAAAUACCACCCUUUAAUGUUUGAUGUUCUAACGUUGGCCCCUUACCGGGGUUGCGGACAGUGUCUGGUGGGUAGUUUGACUGGGGCGGUCUCCUCCCAAAGCGUAACGGAGGAGCACGAAGGUUAGCUAAUCCUGGUCGGACAUCAGGAGGUUAGUGCAAUGGCAUAAGCUAGCUUGACUGCGAGCGUGACGGCGCGAGCAGGUGCGAAAGCAGGUCAUAGUGAUCCGGUGGUUCUGAAUGGAAGGGCCAUCGCUCAACGGAUAAAAGGUACUCCGGGGAUAACAGGCUGAUACCGCCCAAGAGUUCAUAUCGACGGCGGUGUUUGGCACCUCGAUGUCGGCUCAUCACAUCCUGGGGCUGAAGUAGGUCCCAAGGGUAUGGCUGUUCGCCAUUUAAAGUGGUACGCGAGCUGGGUUUAGAACGUCGUGAGACAGUUCGGUCCCUAUCUGCCGUGGGCGCUGGAGAAUUGAGGGGGGCUGCUCCUAGUACGAGAGGACCGGAGUGGACGCAUCACUGGUGUUCGGGUUGUCAUGCCAAUGGCACUGCCCGGUAGCUAAAUGCGGAAGAGAUAAGUGCUGAAAGCAUCUAAGCACGAAACUUGCCCCGAGAUGAGUUCUCCCUGAGACUUUAAGUCUCCUGAAGGAACGUUAAAGACGAUGACGUUGAUAGGCCGGGUGUGUAAGCGCAGCGAUGCGUUGAGCUAACCGGUACUAAUGAACCGUGAGGCUUAACCUU
rnacentral:rRNA from 1 species